GUAGGGGGCUAGCGUUGCUCGGAUUUACUGGGCGUAAAGAGCGCGUAGGCGGCCAGGUAAGUCCGGUGUGAAAGCCCUCGGCUCAACCGAGGAUCCGCAUCGGAAACUACCUGGCUUGAGUCCAGGAGAGGAGGGUGGAAUUCCCGAUGUAGCGGUGAAAUGCGUAGAUAUCGGGAGGAACACCUGUGGCGAAGGCGGCCCUCUGGAAUGGUACUGACGCUGAGGCGCGAAAGCUGGGGGAGCGAACGGGAUUAGAUACCCCGGUAGUCCCAGCUGUAAACGAUGGGCACUAGGUGUGGGAGGUAUUGACCCCCUUCCGUGCCGCAGCUAACGCAUUAAGUGCCCCGCCUGGGGAGUACGGCCGCAAGGUUG
rnacentral:rRNA from 1 species